rnacentral:lncRNA from 1 species
AGAGAGCAAGGGAAAGCGAGAGGAGACAUGAGAGAAGCUGACUGCGCUCAGCAGAGAUUUGUGGUGACCUGGCAGAUCAGCGCAAUGGCUGGGGGGAAGGAUUUACAGCCAGGAAAGCUGCCCCUCGCCCGCCUGGAGAUGGCACGCGGGGCCAAGUCGCUGUUUGCUGGAGUUUGUGCAUUGCAAUACAGCAGAGGCAGCAGAGGUAAUGAAUGGUGAUUCCCUUGCAGUUUUCACCCUGCCUUUGCCCCCUAUCUAUCCAGCUGCAGAAACCCCGUUUUUAACCCUCACGCUGCCUCAAGCGUCUGGGCUGCAUUACCACCCAUCUCCUACCACCCCUUCUGCACUGCCCGCAGCGGCACUGUCCCCCACUUUCUUCCUAUGCCGCCAGAGCCCCUGUUUGUGCCGCUGGCAGGGCAAGCGAUGGCACAUGCAGUGACAAAUUCGGGGCGCUGUGCAUGCUGCCCGGCCAGCCAGGCCGGGCGCACUAGUUGCCCAGCUGGUCCCUGCCAGGCACAUGGGACACCGGUUAACGUUGCCAACCUGCCUCUAGUCAGGCAGCCCCACACUAGUCACUUCUUCCCCCUCUGCCGAGGCACAGAUUUCUGUGAAAACUGCAGGAACUUCAACAUCUUUUGCACCUUACAGUUGCUUGGAACUGGCCCGCGGGUUUGUUGCCGCAGGGACGCUGCAAGCCUUGUUUCUGGACAAGGAGCUGACAAGGGUGCUGACGAGGAGCGCUACGUUGGCGAGACAGCCCUGGGCCGCCUUUGCGGGGCUGGACAGGAGCCUCGGUUAUGUUGGUGCCAGCAGUAUGUGCCUUUCCAAGGGCUGAAUUUAGUCCGAGGAGCCUCCGGGAACAAGAGGGGAGAUCGUGGCAAGGGAGGCCCAGCGGCCGAGGUGCGGCUCGCUCAGAGCAGCGCAGCAGCAGAGAAGGGAGCCUUUCAGCAACGAACAGCAAGGCUUUUGAAUCCGAGUAUACGGAAAGGAAAACUGCGUUUUGCUUUCUCUGCCUGCCCUGCCCAGAGUGAAAAACUCAGCUCUAAGGAAAAACUUCUGUCGAAAUGGAAACAUGCUUGCCACACUGCCCUUUGCAAAAGAAACAACUUGGCUUUUGACCAUAAGUGGAAUUUCCUUACAUG